GUGCAAUGGCAUAAGCCAGCUUGACUGCGAGCGUGACGGCGCGAGCAGGUGCGAAAGCAGGUCAUAGUGAUCCGGUGGUUCUGAAUGGAAGGGCCAUCGCUCAACGGAUAAAAGGUACUCCGGGGAUAACAGGCUGAUACCGCCCAAGAGUUCAUAUCGACGGCGGUGUUUGGCACCUCGAUGUCGGCUCAUCACAUCCUGGGGCUGAAGUAGGUCCCAAGGGUAUGGCUGUUCGCCAUUUAAAGUGGUACGCGAGCUGGGUUUAGAACGUCGUGAGACAGUUCGGUCCCUAUCUGCCGUGGGCGCUGGAGAACUGAGGGGGGCUGCUCCUAGUACGAGAGGACCGGAGUGGACGCAUCACUGGUGUUCGGGUUGUCAUGCCAAUGGCACUGCCCGGUAGCUAAAUGCGGAAGAGAUAAGUGCUGAAAGCAUCUAAGCACGAAACUUGCC
rnacentral:rRNA from 1 species